rnacentral:tRNA from 1 species
GCUGUUAUAGAUCGCACCGUCGUGGGUUUGGUGCGUUUGCAGCGCACUGUGAAAAGAGUCGAUCGACUCGCUUGAACUGCGC